rnacentral:lncRNA from 1 species
AUGCCGUCAUCUAUCAUUCAUAGAUCCAUUUUUUGCAUCUAUAUUCCCAUCAUCUUUUGAUAAGAUCUACUCCUUUCAGGAUUACUGAUUUUAUAAUUCAUUAUUGCAGGCAAUUCUUCGCUCAGAUAGAAUCUCUUUAUUUUUGGACAACGGAAAGAAUUGCCAACAAUUACAUUCUGAUUCAACGUCCGAAUCCUUCUUCAUACAAAAAUUCUCAUCGAUGUAUUUGUGAGAUUCCUUGCUUCUAAAUGAAUUUUUGAGUAGAUCAUUAUUAUAG